AAGAAAUAACAAUACGGGGCUUAAUGUCUUGUAAUUGGAAUGAUGGGAAUUUAAACCUCUUCCAGAGUAUCAAUUGGAGGGCAAGUCUGGUGCCAGCAGCCGCGGUAAUUCCAGCUCCAAUAGCGUAUAUUAAAAUUGUUGCAGUUAAAAAGCUCGUAGUUGAAUUUCUGCUGCAUUUCAUUUCUCUUUCUGAGUUUGUUUUUGCGGCUUAUUUCGGUUUGAUUUUUUCUUUCCGGAUGAUUACUUUGAGAAAAUUAGAGUGCUCAAAGCAGGCUUUUGCCUUGAAUAGUUUAGCAUGGAAUAAUAAAGUAGGACUUUGGUUCUAUUUUGUUGGUUUUAGGUACCAAAGUAAUGGUUAAUAGGAACAGUUGGGGGCAUUCGUAUUUAACUGUCAGAGGUGAA
rnacentral:rRNA from 1 species